rnacentral:lncRNA from 1 species
AGUCAAUCUUUCUCAGUGAUGUUAUCUUCUAUUGGUAUCUUCUAUUUGUAUCUUCUGCAGGUGUGUUCCUCCUUGACCCACCCGUUCAGCUAUGACGUCAUCCCUCCGGACUCUGAAGUGUGUGUCACAAUGUUUAGCAAUCAGACACAGAGAGAGGUGCGAGGGAGGGUUCGGAUCGGGAAGAAGGACAGACUGACCUUCCUUGGACAAAUUCAGUUGAACCCCUCAGAUUUACCUCAGCAUAGGGUCAAAGUUCGAGCCAACCUCACCCAUCUACUCCAGCUAUUUCAGUUGAAGCUCCCUUCGUCGGCCAUACUGGAAGGAGAUGUGUCCUGGAAUCCUAAAAAUAACAGUGUGUUUGAUUACCUAGUGAGAGGCAAAGUAGGAAUCAACCGGCAGGAGUGUCAGGUAAGAGUAACUAUUCAUUCACCACUUAGAUAA